GUCUAUAGCCAUGCCACCCUGAACAAGCUUGAUCCUGUCUGAUCUCGAAAGCUAAGCAGGGUCAGGCCUGGUUAGUACUUGGAUGGGAGACCACCUAGGAAGACCAGGUGCUGUAGUCG
rnacentral:rRNA from 1 species